rnacentral:rRNA from 1 species
UACGUAGGGUGCGAGCGUUGUCCGGAAUUAUUGGGCGUAAAGAGCUUGUAGGCGGUUUGUCGCGUCUGCUGUGAAAAUCCGGGGCUCAACCCCGGACUUGCAGUGGGUACGGGCAGACUAGAGUGUGGUAGGGGAGACUGGAAUUCCUGGUGUAGCGGUGAAAUGCGUAGAUAUCAGGAGGAACACCGGUGGCGAAAGCGCUUGUCUGGCCCAAUACUGACGCUGAGGCGCGAAAGCUAGGGGAGCAAACGGG